UGGGGAAUAUUGCACAAUGGGCGCAAGCCUGAUGCAGCCAUGCCGCGUGUAUGAAGAAGGCCUUCGGGUUGUAAAGUACUUUCAGCGGGGAGGAAGGGAGUAAAGUUAAUACCUUUGCUCAUUGACGUUACCCGCAGAAGAAGCACCGGCUAACUCCGUGCCAGCAGCCGCGGUAAUACGGAGGGUGCAAGCGUUAAUCGGAAUUACUGGGCGUAAAGCGCACGCAGGCGGUCUGUCAAGUCGGAUGUGAAAUCCCCGGGCUCAACCUGGGACCUGCAUUCGAAACUGGCAGGCUAGAGUCUUGUAGAGGGGGAUAGAAUUCCAGGUGUAGCGGUGAAAUGCGUAGAGAUCUGGAGGAAUACCGGUGGCGAAGGCGGCCCCCUGGACAAAGACUGACGCUCAGGUGCGAAAGCGUGGGGAGCAAACAGG
rnacentral:rRNA from 1 species